rnacentral:rRNA from 1 species
GCAGGGGUAAAAACUCCGGUGGUAUGAGAUGGACCCGCGUCUGAUUAGGUAGUUGGUGGGGUAACGGCCUACCAAGCCGACGAUCAGUAGCCGACCUGAGAGGGUGACCGGCCACAUUGGGACUGAGACACGGCCCAAACUCCUACGGGAGGCAGCAGUGGGGAAUAUUGCACAAUGGGGGAAACCCUGAUGCAGCGACGCCGCGUGAGCGAUGAAGUAUUUCGGUAUGUAAAGCUCUAUCAGCAGGGAAGAAAAUGACGGUACCUGACUAAGAAGCACCGGCUAAAUACGUGCCAGCAGCCGCGGUAAUACGUAUGGUGCAAGCGUUAUCCGGAUUUACUGGGUGUAAAGGGAGCGUAGACGGAGUGGCAAGUCUGAUGUGAAAACCCGGGGCUCAACCCCGGGACUGCAUUGGAAACUGUCAAUCUAGAGUACCGGAGAGGUAAGCGGAAUUCCUAGUGUAGCGGUGAAAUGCGUAGAUAUUAGGAGGAACACCAGUGGCGAAAGCGGCUUACUGGACGGUAACUGACGUUGAGGCUCGAAAGCGUGGGGAGCAAACAGGAUUAGAUACCCUGGUAGUCCACGCCGUAAACGAUGACUACUAGGUGUCGGGCAGCAAAGCUGUUCGGUGCC